UACGUAGGGGGCGAGCGUUGUCCGGAAUCAUUGGGCGUAAAGGGCGCGUAGGCGGUCUGGUAAGUCGAGCGUUAAAUCUACAGGCUCAACUUGUAGUCGCGUUCGAUACUGUCAGACUAGAGAGUGGUAAAGGAAAGCGGAACUUCCGGUGUAGCGGUGAAAUGCGUAGAUAUCGGAAGGAACACCAGUGGCGAAGGCGGCUUUCUGGGCCAUUUCUGACGUUGAGGCGCGAAAGCUAGGGGAGCAAACGGGAUUAGAUACCCCCGUA
rnacentral:rRNA from 1 species